GUUGCUGUUGAUAGAGAACUCGGCCAGGAGGCCAGGAGUUCCAGUGCCGAUGUUUCCCCCCCAGAGAUCCGGAGGACUCAGUGAGCGAGAUUCUCCGGGGGCGAGAGUGAAUCCGGAGGUUCCGAUCGAGGGGCCGGGGUUCUCGCGGACGACAAUGUUCUGCGAGCCUCCGCAGCUAUUGACAACGUUGAAGGAAGUGGCUGCUGCGAGUGGGAUUGCUGCAAAACAAUGGCUUAGAGCAACAAGAGCAACUAGGAUGGCAGUAGAGCUUGCCAUUGGAACUGUGUAUGCUGUAAUAUAUUUCUGUGAGUUUCUUUGAGGAUUUAUAUAGUCUAGAGAAAUUAGUGAAGGUGAAAGAGUUUGUUGACCACACGCAAAGGAAUACCACCCGUGAAUAGCGAGAGUUUUCCAAGCAAAAAAAACCUUUUCUUCACAAGACUUUGAAAAUCAUGUUCAUGCCUUGAGUUUUUGCAGAAACGUGCUUUGAAUAUUGAGUCAAGAAUGCCGAACUUUGUGAACUAGUGCCAGCUCAAUAACUCCUAGUCUCACAUUCGGGAUUGUUUUCUGUGGAUACUAUUAUUUGAUUCAUAAAGCGUUGAAUUCAUAAUCAAAGCACAUCUGAUUAAAGGAUAAGUUCAAAUAAAAAAACUUAAAUUUUGAUGAACUUAAUACUUGCCCCAUGAUGCCAUGAAUAUACAUAGUUUUCCUGUCCCCCUGCAUUUUAAAAAAAAAAGUGAAUCUCAAACCUUAUUUAGCUCCGCAGUUUACUUCAAAGCUAAAUCUGCUUUGCCGGGCUUGGUUAAUCCAUGGCGAUCUAGAAAAUCUUGGCACUGCAGUUGGAUUAGUCUUGAUUACUAGCAAAGGCAAUUAUGGCUGCAUGGAGGAAUCUCUCAAGGUCUUCCAAAGAAUCAAUACAAGAACACUAUUAAAUAAAAGCUGAUAAACAUGGGAUCAUCUAUCCCAUGGGGCUUUUGCAUGUGUGCUCAAUCAACGGACUUUUGGCCUGAGAAGCAGCUUAGGUAAACAUAUGCACGAAAAAAAAGAGAGGAAAACACACCUGUGUAAACUUGUAGACACAAAAGUAUGUACUUCCCGGAACUUUUCUUCUAGCACCGUGAUACUGGCAGCAGAAGAAGUUAAGUUCUGCUUCACGGAGUGACUGCGUCUUUGCGUGAGAUUCCUGUUGCUGCAAGGCAAGCAUGGUUGACUCUGCCUGCUAAUCCAUUGUAAAUGUCGGAUGCAAUACAUCCAGACAAGAGUGGAACGCCUCUGUUGGAAGGAUUCUCAACUCUCUUUCCAACCCCUUUCUUCAGCUGCUCUUCCUCCCAGAUCUUUGAAUUCAACGUUCUCAGACACGCCAGCUUUCUUUCCAUUAUCCUUGUAAGUGAGCCUCCCUCGAACUUCCCCGGCCUCGUCUUCACUGGAAACAGCCUCGUCUUUCGAUGGAGCGUCACAAAUUCUGGACCGAAACUUGGCAUCGCUAGAAUGACACCACCAAAAGAAGCAUCCAUCAAGGCAUCAAGAGCUAGUUGAGAUGGUGUUCUAAUGUAUGUAAGGCAAUAUCUAUGUGAAGGCUUGUUUAAACAUUUCUACUGUCAUGUGUAAAGAAUGUUAUCGCAAUUUUAAAUCUUCAUUUCAAUACUUACCUGGCAGAUCCCUCUCAAGGAUGAAAGUACCUUCUCUAUUGUAAUCGUCACCGUUUCGCAGCAGUUUUCAUUUGCACAGCUUCUCGUCUACCAGUUUGCAGAACGCCUGGUAAGUAUCUGCAGCGGGAUGCCUCCUUAGCAAAGUACUCUCGGUAGCUUAUUGUGCUCGCAUCCAAGAACAAGUCAUAUGCCUCAGUAGCUAGCGUUUCACCGUCCAGCAUGAGGCCCCGUUUCAAGCCCCAAGUGACAAGGUUUUUCCCUUCCGGGCAGUUCGCUGUACAUCUCAAGCACAUUUGGCGUUGGAUGCAACAUCUUUCCAAAGCUUCUUUUAUAAUGGACAACACUAAAGUGUGAUCUUUGACCACGUCGACAUAAACCCUUGACAUUGGCUCGUCAACCAUCUCAAGUAACAAAUUGUCAUUAUAUGGAUGUAUUUAAGGAGAGCUUUGUACGAGACAUGCGACGAGAACAUCUUUACGAUCUUUGGGUGCUCUUGUGGAAACGCCUUACAAUUAGCGACUCGCGUCUGGGAAGCAAGAGCUAGCUGAAAUGGUGUUCUAUAACUCCAUAUAACACCCAUGUAAAGGCUUUGAUCAUUUGAUGAAGUUGAAUACAAGCGUUGAUAUGUGAACUCCAUGCUAGGGCCAGGGGGUGAUGGUAGAAAUUUGACUCUUUUCCCUUCCACUUCUAAUAUACACUUAGUGUUUCAGUGAGAGGAGAUUGCCGCUCGUUUCUUUAUUUGUUGAUCCACCAUAUUCAGCCCGAGCGCCAUGCCUAGGCUGCGGUCGGCGAUCACCGUGGCCACUGCCCAUUAAGUCAAAAUUAGAUUGAUGGGGAUAAAAGGCUUUUUAGCAAAAAGGUAUUAAGUUAAGCGGUAGCUUUCUGAUCCAUUACGAGCCAGGGCCUAGCCAGGGCCACAAAGCACAGGGAAUGGAGUCCUAAAGAUUCUCAUCCGCACCACAAGGAACUAGCAUCGUCAUCACUGCACUCAUCCUCAUCACUACUCUCAUCAUCCUCAUCACUGGGUUUGUAGUCCGGAUCAAAACUUCCUCUUGUUUGCUUUCCUUGCCAACUGCAACUUGCAGCAGCUAGCAUCGGUGUGUCCCUCACAGCGCUUAAUAAGCCUACACAAAUCAUAAAAACUAAUAAAAACAAAAAGAAAAGCAUCAAUUACUUACCAAAUGGACUCUGCUGUGGAUACACGUAUUGACCUCCAUCAGCCUCUGGCACAACCAUCCUGUUGGAACUUUUGACUUUGGAAAUCACGUUAUACAAUGGUUGAUCGGUCAUAAGAACCAUGGCGUAAUUGCCAUCUGAAACGACACACAAUAAACCAACCGACAAAUAAAAACUAAGUACCUGCCAUCCAUUGCUCUAUCGUCCAUAUCUUCUUCAGAAAGUCUUCUUCCCACCUGGCUUGCUGUCCUUCAUAAACGUCCGUGCGUUUGCUCUCAAUAAAUAAAAAAAAGUCCUGCAGCUUGUUCUCAAGAUCCACCAGCUGCAGAUGGAUGAAGCUAUCAGGUCCGUGGUUGCCAACCCAAUAAAAAUGCUGCCUGUCCUCUCUUAGAAAGGCCUGAAAUACGUCUGCUGUAUGUAUCUGAUGGGGCUGACGUUUUGGAGGUCCAAACGUUGCACCAGCUGGCAACUGGAACUUCAAAGCUUGCAUAUUUGCAGGAAGGACGAAAUUGAAGGGGAGGAUGUCUUUGAGUGUGAACUCAAAUACUGUCUCCUUCUUCUCGUGAUCAUGAAAAAGCUUACCCAUGUAUAUCAUGAAGACAAUGCACAUAAGGUCUGAUACCUCCUUAACAGAAUCCAGUAUAGGAGGCCAUAAAUGUUUCAGCUCCGCCACAUGUAAGUUCUCGAUAAGAUGGUAAAUAAGGAGUGGAGAGAACAUGAUGGAAAACGAGCGCAUUCCAUUCCUCACGUCUUCCUGUUUCGAUAAUUUUAUCUGCUUAUUGGGUGGCGGCUCCUGUACAGUAACACCACAUAAGCACUCACAUAAACUUCUGAAAUAUCAGAAAAGUACCUCGUUGCGUAAGAGUCCAACUAAACCGCAAGACUCUAAAAAUCCCCACUUAUCUUUGUAUCUACUACCUGGCCAAACUAGGUCCUCCCGACUGAUCAGGGUCCCCAACAGCGCAACAUAAAGAGCUCGUAGCACCAACAAAUACCUCUUGUCCACAAGGUAGUGAAAAUAAUAACCGCGUUUGAUAGUACUCCACGCGUUCCUUAUUGUAUCACGGAGAUCGGUUUGGCUGAGAUCUUGAUUCACCUGUAACAAGCAUACAGUUUUCUCAUCAAGAAAAAGGACAAAAAAGAACGGAAGAAACCUUUUCGUAGAACUUCGAAGCUUCAAGAUGAGGGUGCUCAGGCAUCAACCCUCUCAAAAGGUGAUUAAGCAUGCGAGGAUUCCCUCCUGAUAACUUUAUCAGCUUCCUUAGUCCGUCCUUCAACUCAAAUGGCUUCUCCAUGCCGAGAGUAUUUCCUAGUCUUGAAAGGAAGAUCGUCGUUACGUCUACCACCUCCUCCUCCUUCAGAGGCCUAAUAGGUAUAAAAAUACUUGUUACCUUCUCUGUGUAACGCAUUGUGGCCCCAGAAAAUCGGGUCGUUGCUACUUGAAGUACAGGAAACGUCAUGCCACCUCGGUUACUUUUGAUAUGUCGAACGUAGGCCGAGAAAGCUUCAUGAAUCCAGGACGAUGCAGCUGGGAGACCUCGCUGAGGUCGGGCCUUGUUGACUUCAUCGAAAAACCAAGAUAGAAAAAUUCGCUUGUCGGCAGGAACCUUAAGACCGGUUCGAAUGAAGUCGAUCACAUCUCCGAAAGUCAGCACAUUCCUCAGGCCCGGAAACAUGUCAUCCAACUCCUUGAGAAAAUCAGCAUAUGCAGUCGUAUUCAUUGGACAAAGGGCUGCAUGCAAGGACCGAAGCGCCAAAACCUGUGCGCCUUCCAGGCCGUUCUCGAGCAGAAGUGCACCCCCCGCCAUGGUCGUUUCAACCGAAUGGUACAUACUAAGAUCUUUGCCAGUCUCCAGCACGUUGUUCACCAUUUCCUUGAACUGAGUGGCAAGCCCACUGUAACCUAGCUGGUCCUCGAGAAUGGCAUCUAUAGUCCCUGUUUUUGUGUCCCUCUCCCACGCUUCUCUGAGAAGAGCUGAGAGACAUGUCCCGACAGUUGUUUUGCCUGCUCCGGGGAAUCCGAUGACCAUCAACAUGAACUCUUUUCGUUCGAAAUCUGAGGCACUGGAAGUCUUGUUCAUGAAAGUUGCAAAGACCCGUGCAGUGGCAGCCAUAAGAUGCUGAAUCAUCUCCUCCCUUCCGACCAAAGUAAAAUAAUCUCCGAAGUCCGUCUGUAAACACGGCUGCCCACCGUUGUCCACAAGAGGCAACUUGUAGCCUGGCACCCUCCUCGCCGGCAUUCCGUGAAAAACCCUUGCAUCCUCCAGUUGUUUCGUGUAUACAUCCAGCAACCUCGACACUACAACACAAACUUGUCAGUAGUAGAAGCAAAAAGUAAAAGACGCCAAAAACGAUAGCCACAGUAUACACCAACACAUUAAGCAGAAAACCAUACGAAGAGACCAUGAUGCCACAGAUGCCGAGAACCCAGGUAACACGUUCUACAAGCUACACAAGACGCCAUGUCGACAGCCACCAACAAAGGCAACAGCCGAUCACAAUCACACAGACACCAUAGCCCCAGCUAUAGCCGCACUAGCACCACGACAAGUAAAACGCCAAGUUGCAGCCAAGUCGUGGUUUUGCUCAGCAAGUGCUUACCUGGCGCAGCUUGAAGGGUUAUCGGCGGGGCCUCUGAAACAGAAAUAUAAACUUGUCAGUACUCGGCAAUAGCCAGCGGGGCAAGCACAAAACAGCGCGAAUAGCCCAUGCGAGGAGGCAAAAACAGAAGAAACGAUCAAAGCAGACUCCUAAGAGACCAAGAUUCCAGCAGAACGAGCACAUCCCAGGCACCAAAUACACACCAAAAUGCUACGUACGUGUAGGAGCCUUUGUUGCCCGAAUAGUAUGAGAAGAUCCAGGCACAUACGUAGACCUGCUCAGGCCGUCUUCCCCUGCCUGUAGACGUCUCCACCUGACCCUCCCUUGCUCAUAGCGCUUCACACUGAUAAAGACAGCCGAGAACUCCUGGAGAACAUCAUUUACUGCCACUCUACCAUCGUUAAGGUAAAACUCGCAACCUUCUGCCCCAUCUAUGUCUUCAAUGAACUCUACAAUCUCCUCCAUACUGUUAACCCUAGCCGGCUGUCCGGGUAUAUUCAGUCUGAUCCUUCAGACAUAGAAGUCUACUUGGUGCUUUUGGUGUUAAUGAUCGAUGAGAGGCGGUGCUGCUGGUCAGAGUAGCAGAAUUGGUUGCAAUGGGAGGAUCCAAUUGUGUGUGAUCGUGCAUCAAUUGCCAAUUCUGGGCAUCUGGGAGAUUCGAGGAGGAUAUUUGAUGGCUAGCUGGAAUGCGAUGCUUUCGGUAUAUGCUCGGGCCGGAUGUUUCCCAGAUGCCACAGGAAUUUUCGAUGCCAUGCAAGCAAAGAAUCUAGUCUCGUGGACUGCCAUGUGUGUGCGCAUAUUCCAAGCACGGGCAUCUAGACGAGGCAAAGAUUUUUCUUGGUGCUAUGCCCGCGUGGAAUGCUGUUUCCUUGAUAGCGAUAAUCGUUGCAUGUGGUUUAGCUCGGGGUAAUCAGCUGUUUGAGAUUACGGAAGCCAAAACUUUGGUGGCGUGGAAUAAUACUCGCCGCAAAUGCCCACUUUGCGAUUUCUCUGGUGAUCUUUCGUGCGAUGCCGCAGUGGGAUCUGGUUUCGUGGAUCACGCUACUGGGUGGAAUUUCUAGCGAUCUUGAUGCUCUGCUCGAGAUUUUCCACGCAAUGCCCAAGCACGGCAUCGCGCUGCUAUCGGCUCACGCGACUAGAGGCGAUGCCCAACUCGUGUUUGAGCGGAUGCCGGAGAGAAAUUUUGAUCUCCUGGAUCGCGAUGCUCAAUGCAUGGAUCUUGUGCGGCGACCUGGAACUCGCGAGAGAGCUCUUCGAUCCCAUGCCGGUGAGGAACCUGUUUCUCGAACCGCGAUGAUCGAUGCGUAUUCACAGCGAGGCGAUCCGUGCCAGGCCAGGAGCCUCUUCGCCCAGAUGGCGGAGCAGAGCCUGGCCUCCUGGAACGCGAUUCUUUCCAGCAUCGCGCGCUUUGGAGAUCUGGAAGAAGCCCGAGAGAUCUUCGAGAGGAUGCCGCAGUGGAAUUCUUUGUCCUGGAACGCAAUGCCGGCCGCCUACACCCUGUCCGGAAAGAAUCUGGAAGAAGCCCAGGCGCUGUUCGCCAAGAUCCCCCGCAACCAGCUCUCUUGGAACCUGAUGCUCACAGCCGCUGAAUCAUCGCUGGAGCUCUUCGCAUUGAUGCCGGAGCGCGACGUCGUAUCCUGGACUGCACAGCAUUUGCCCGCGCUCACGGACAAGCACUGUCCAGUGGGAUUCCCGGGGUUGAUGAACACUAGAGCUCGGGGCUGCAGAGCUCCCGCGCGGAGAAGCUCUGAAUCCCAUCGCCUGGGCCACGCUCCUGGCGCCCUGAUCCAUUCCCCGCGACCAUGGUCGCGACCACGGCGUGACGCCCACUACGGCUGCAUGGGACGUUUGUGGAUGAUGGGGUUUGUAGAUGGAAUGAUACGGAGGGCGAUAGGUGUGGUACGGAGGUGGCCGGGGUGGAUCCAGAUGCCGCUGCGCUAACGUAUCGAUCUCGCGAGUUGGAAUUGGAACGCGUGACAAGAUUUUUGCUCAAUAAGGACUAGAAUUUAUUUAUAAUCGUUUAUAAAGUGAUUGAAUAACACCAUCGCUCACGGGCAGAACGUAAUGGUGAAAGUUCCUCCGGUUCCAGUGGCAAAAGUCUUGGUGUUGUCACCAGACCAGCUAUAAGCAUCCGGGCAUGAGGCACGGACGUUCUGUGCAUACUGGGAGUUUGGAUCGUCGCGGUUGGGACUGGUACAAACAUUCCCAUUCGUGUUCUCGGGAGGACAAGUCGAAGCCUCCGCUCGGCAAGUCAGUCCCCUGCCAGAUCCAGUGAUGCUCAUCCCAGUGCCGAUGAAGAAGCCAUCCACGGCGCUGAUGUCGUAGAAGUCAUUGUUGCUGUUGCUGUUGAUAGAGAACUCGGCCAGGAGGCCAGGAGUUCCAGUGCCGAUGUUUCCCCCCCAGAGAUCCGGAGGACUCAGUGCGCGAGAUUGUCCGGGGGCGAGAGUGAAUCCGGAGGUUCCGAUCGAGGGGCCGGGGUUCUCGCGGACGACAAUGUUCUGCGAGCCUCCGCAGCUAUUGACAACGUUGAAGGAAGUGGCUGCUGCGAGUGGGAUUG
rnacentral:lncRNA from 1 species